GUGAAAUCCCCGGGCUCAACCUGGGAACUGCAUUCGAAACUGGCAGGCUUGAGUCUUGUAGAGGGGGGUAGAAUUCCAGGUGUAGCGGUGAAAUGCGUAGAGAUCUGGAGGAAUACCGGUGGCGAAGGCGGCCCCCUGGACAAAGACUGACGCUCAGGUGCGAAAGCGUGGGGAGCAAACAGGAUUAGAUACCCUGGUAGUCCACGCCGUAAACGAUGUCUACUUGGAGGUUGUGCCCUUGAGGCGUGGCUUCCGGAGCUAACGCGUUAAGUAGACCGCCUGGGGAGUACGGCCGCAAGGUUAAAACUCAAAUGAAUUGACGGGGGCCCGCACAAGCGGUGGAGCAUGUGGUUUAAUUCGAUGCAACGCGAAGAACCUUACCUGGUCUUGACAUCCACAGAACUUUCCAGAGAUGGAUUGGUGCCUUCGGGAACUGUGAGACAGGUGCUGCAUGGCUGUCGUCAGCUCGUGUUGUGAAAUGUUGGGUUAAGUCCCGCAACGAGCGCAACCCUUAUCCUUUGUUGCCAGCGGUUAGGCCGGGAACUCAAAGGAGACUGCCAGUGAUAAACUGGAGGAAGGUGGGGAUGACGUCAAGUCAUCAUGGCCCUUACGACCAGGGCUACACACGUGCUACAAUGGCGCAUACAAAGAGAAGCGACCUCGCGAGAGCAAGCGGACCUCAUAAAGUGCGUCGUAGUCCGGAUUGGAGUCUGCAACUCGACUCCAUGAAGUCGGAAUCGCUAGUAAUCGUGGAUCAGAAUGCCACGGUGAAUACGUUCCCGGGCCUUGUACACACCGCCCGUCACACCAUGGGAGUGGGUUGCAAAAGAAGUAGGUAGCUUAACCUUCGGGAGGGCGCUUACCACUUUGUGAUUCAUGACUGGGGUGAAGUCGUAACAAGGUAACCGUAGGGGAACCUGCGGUUGGAUCACCUCCUUA
rnacentral:rRNA from 1 species